GUCAGGAAGUCCAAAGCUUUAUAAAGCAGUGAGCAAGCGAUCAAGGAACUUGUGAACAGGAAUUAGAUCCAGUGCUCCUGUCAGCUUUUUGCUAAGUUAUCUGCUGAAAAAAAAAGAGUUUUCAGCUGCCUUAGUAGCUCCUGGAAAGAGGUUCAUGGAAGGAAAGGAAAGUCUUUUAAAUAUUGAGACAUCUUGGAGCUGACAUCAUGCACCCUGAGCACUUAGUAUCUGCAAUAGAUUCUUCCCAGAUAAGACUAUUAAUGUCAACUGUUAAAGUCUUGAACAACAAAUUAUUUGAUACGUCACCAGGAGAGCUACAGCUGGUGUAUAUGGUCAUAUGUAGUAAUUUUGCACCAUAGCAUGGACUGUUUAAAAAGAUAAUGCAGCAUCUAAACAUGAUAAACUGGACAAAAUUUUUGUGACUGCUGGCAUUUCAUUCAUAGAAAUGUAAUUUCUGUUCAAGGUAUUCAUUUAUUUGGUGGCUGGGAUAGUCACAUGUUUUUAAUGUCUGGACAUGCUUUUUCUUGUAAAGUACAUAUAAUAAUAAUAAUUAAUAAAUAAUGGUUAGGUUUCUUAGAUUGUGUAUUCCCUGAGACUUUAAUAUCCUGUGAUUUAUCUUAAUAUUUAUAAUAACAGUCAUUAAUUAACAAGCCUGAUUCAGUGUCCAUUAGCAUUAGUCAGAGACUCUCCAUAGCCCCCCUAAAGGAACAUUUAAAACAAUUAGUUACUCAUUUUGGAAUAUAGACUUCAGAAGUUUGUCAUUUUUGGCACAUUUUUAACUAACCUGAUCCUUGCUUUCUCAUUAUUUUGCUCUGCAGAAAAUUUUCUGGUUUUAGUAGACACUCAUCAUCUUCUUUUUUCCACUGUGAAAGUUUGUUGACUAUCUAAUGUUCCCUAUUGCAAUCAUAUAAUUUGAGAAGUUUUUUCCUAAUGUCCAUCCUAAGCUGCCCUUGCUGGAAUUUAAGCUCAUUGCUGC